CUGUCAUUUAAAGGAUCUUUGACGAGAGGAGGAGUUUUUUUCUGGCCGUAUGUUCCCAUAAACAUCAGAGUGAUCCUGUCUUAUGGAGGAUCUUUGAUGAGUGUUUUUGUGGUGGUUCUUUCAAACAGCAGAGUGGUCCUGUCAUAUAAAGGAUCUUUUACUUGCGUUUUUUUUUUUUUCUUAAAACAGCAGAGUGGUCCUGGCUUAUAGAGGAUCUUUAA